UGAUAUUUCAGGCUGCUCAGGAAAUAACUCCCAACAUUAUCAUGUUCCUUCCCCGUAACGUGGACUUAAGUCAAGUGGAAGAGCUUUCUUGGCUAUCUUGUCCACCAUUAACGUUGAAGAUUGAAGAGAACUACAUGGAAACUAGUUUGAAAGGAAUCACGGCAUACUUUGGUGACACUGCAUUAGUACCAUCUAAGUCAUCCUUUUCAAAAACGGACAUUAGUUGAUGGCAUUGUGAAGCAAAUACGAUUUUACUGGGGAUUUCGACAUGAGGCCUAAUGUUAUCACAAGCAAAUAUAGUUUCAGAGGAUUUUGACACGAGGCACGAUGUCAACCUAGUUAGGAUGAUAAUAGCUAUGCACCGAUAUGUUGAUGCCCUCAUUUGGAAUUAGGGAGAGAGCCACAUUGAGGUU